rnacentral:rRNA from 1 species
CCUACGGGCGGCUGCAGUGAGGAAUAUUGGUCAAUGGGCGCGAGCCUGAACCAGCCAAGUCGCGUGCGGGAGGACGGCCCUACGGGUUGUAAACCUCUUUUGCCGGGGAGCAACGGGCGUCACGUGUGUCGCCACUGAGAGUACCCGGAGAAAAAGCAUCGGCUAACUCCGUGCCAGCAGCCGCGGUAAUACGGAGGAUGCGAGCGUUAUCCGGAUUUAUUGGGUUUAAAGGGUGCGUAGGCGGAUCGUUAAGUCAGUGGUCAAAUUGAGGGGCCCAACCCCCGGACUGCUCUGGAAACUAUGUGACUGGAGUGCAGGAGAGGUGAGCGGAAUUCCUAGUGUAGCGGUGAAAUGCGUAGAUAUUAGGAGGAACACCAGUGGCGAAGGCGGCUCACUGGACUGUAACUGACGUUGAGGCUCGAAAGCGUGGGGAGCAAACAGGAUUAGAUACCCGAGUAGUC